AGGGUGAACGCUGGCGGCGUGCUUAAGACAUGCAAGUCGAACGGAUGCUUUCGGGCAUCAGUGGCGCACGGGUGAGUAACGCGUAACUGACCUACCUCCAAGUUCAGCAUAACGUCUCGAAAGAGACGCUAAUUCUGAAUGUGAUCCCGGAUCGUGUUCCGUGAUUAAAGAAUUUCGCUUGGAGAUGGGGUUGCGUUCCAUCAGCUGGUUGGUAGGGUAAAGCCUACCAAGGCGACGACGGA
rnacentral:rRNA from 1 species